GUCGAGCGGUAUAUACUUAAGUGAAACUUCGGUCUAAUAAGAGUAUAGAGGAGCGGCGGACGGGUGAGUAACGCGUAGGCACCUGCCCCAUACAGAGGGAUAGCCUCGUACGCGGCGGGAUUAAACCUCAUAACGCCAAGAGUUCACAUGGACUUUUGGUCAAAGAUUUAUCGGUAUGGGAUGGGCCUGCGUCUGAUUAGCUAGUUGGUGGGGUAACGGCCUACCAAGGGAACGAUCAGUAGCCGACCUGAGAGGGUAAUCGGCCACAUUGGAACUGAGACACGGUCCAAACUCCUACGGGAGGCAGCAGUGGGGAAUAUUGCACAAUGGGCGAAAGCCUGAUGCAGCAACGCCGCGUGAGCGAUGAAGGCCUUUGGGUCCGUUAGACUCUGUCCUUGGGGAAGAAA
rnacentral:rRNA from 1 species